UACGUAGGGGGCAAGCGUUGUCCGGAUUUAUUGGGCGUAAAGAGCGUGUAGGCGGCCAUACAGGUCCGUUGUGAAAACUCGAGGCUCAACCUCGAGACGUCGAUGGAAACCGUAUGGCUAGAGUCCGGAAGAGGAGAGUGGAAUUCCUGGUGUAGCGGUGAAAUGCGCAGAUAUCGAGAGGAACACCUGCGGCGAAGGCGGGUUGCUGGGCUGACACUGACGCUGAUGCGCGAAAGCCAGGGGAGCGAACGGG
rnacentral:rRNA from 1 species